GGGUGAGUAACGCGUAUGCAACCUGCCCGUUUCAGCGGGAUAACCCGGAGAAAUCCGGCCUAAUACCGCAUGUGGCCGAGGGAAGGCAUCUUCUUUCGGCCAAAGGAGGCGACUCCGGAGACGGAUGGGCAUGCGUGACAUUAGCUUGUUGGCGGGGUAACGGCCCACCAAGGCGACGAUGUCUAGGGGUUCUGAGAGGAAGGUCCCCCACACUGGUACUGAGACACGGACCAGACUCCUACGGGAGGCAGCAGUGAGGAAUAUUGGUCAAUGGGCGAGAGCCUGAACCAGCCAAGUCGCGUGAAGGAUGACGGCCCUACGGGUUGUAAACUUCUUUUGUCAGGGAGCAAUUGGGUCCACGUGUGGGCUUAGCGAGAGUACCUGAAGAAAAAGCAUCGGCUAACUCCGUGCCAGCAGCCGCGGUAAUACGGAGGAUGCGAGCGUUAUCCGGAUUUAUUGGGUUUAAAGGGUGCGUAGGCGGAAUAUCAAGUCAGCGGUAAAAAUUCGGGGCUCAACCCCGUCGUGCCGUUGAAACUGAUGUUCUUGAGUGGGCGAGAAGUAUGCGGAAUGCGUGGUGUAGCGGUGAAAUGCAUAGAUAUCACGCAGAACUCCGAUUGCGAAGGCAGCAUACCGGCGCCCAACUGACGCUGAAGCACGAAAGCGUGGGUAUCGAACAGGAUUAGAUACCCUGGUAGUCCACGCAGUAAACGAU
rnacentral:rRNA from 1 species